GAUGAACGCUGGCGGCGUGCCUAAUACAUGCAAGUCGAGCGAACAGACGAGGAGCUUGCUCCUCUGACGUUAGCGGCGGACGGGUGAGUAACACGUGGAUAACCUACCUAUAAGACUGGGAUAACUUCGGGAAACCGGAGCUAAUACCGGAUAAUAUAUUGAACCGCAUGGUUCAAUAGUGAAAGACGGUUUUGCUGUCACUUAUAGAUGGAUCCGCGCCGCAUUAGCUAGUUGGUAAGGUAACGGCUUACCAAGGCAACGAUGCGUAGCCGACCUGAGAGGGUGAUCGGCCACACUGGAACUGAGACGCGGUCCUGACUCCUACGGGAGGCAGCAGUAGGGAAUCUUCCGCAAUGGGCGAAAGCUUGACGGAGCAACGCCGCGUGAGUGAUGAAGGUCUUCGGAGCGUAAAACUCUGUUAUUAGGGAAGAACAAAUGUGUAAGUAACUAUGCACGUCUUGACGGUACCUAAUCAGAAAGCCACGGCUAACUACGUG
rnacentral:rRNA from 1 species